UGAGAACCUCCGGGGGCAAGAGGUUCGACCCGAGCGAAGCGAGAGAACGUUGCGUCAGCAACGGCCCGCAGGGCGAGCCAUCCUCUAUCACCGGCAG
rnacentral:sRNA from 1 species